CCUACGGGAGGCUGCAGUGGGGAAUAUUGGGCAAUGGGCGAAAGCCUGAUCCAGCAAUGCCGCGUGAAUGAAGAAGUUCUUAGGAUUGUAAAAUUCUGUCCUAUGGGAAGAAAAAAAUGAUGGUACCCUAGGAGGAAGCCCCUGCUAACUACGUGCCAGCAGCCGCGGUAAUACGUAGGGGGCGAGCGUUAUCCGGAUGUACUGGGUGUAAAGGCGGCGCAGACGGCAAUGCAAGCCAGAAGUGAAAGCCCGGGGCCCAACCCCGGGACUGCUCUUGGAACUGCAUGGCUGGAGUGCAGGAGGGGCAGGCGGAAUUCCGAGUGUAGCGGUGAAAUGCGUAGAUAUUAGGAGGAACACCGGUGGCGAAGGCGGCCUGCUGGACUGUGACUGACGUUGAGGCCCGAAGGCGUGGGGAGCAAACAGGAUGAGAUACCCUAGUAGUC
rnacentral:rRNA from 1 species